rnacentral:tRNA from 1 species
GUUUUAAUAGUUUAAAUAAAACAUUGGUCUUGUAAACCUAAAUUAAAUGAAAAUUUUUAAAACU